CCAAUAGCGUAUAUUAAAGUUGUUGCAGUUAAAAAGCUCGUAGUUGAAUUUCGGGACCAAUAUGUCGGUCGUGCUUCGGUACGUACUUGCAUUAUUGGUUUCUCCCUUCUGAAGAACCAUGAUGUCAUUAAUUUGGUGUCGUGGGAAAUCAGGACUGUUACUUUGAAAAAAUUAGAGUGUUUAAAGCAGGCUCGCGCUUGAAUACAUUAGCAUGGAAUAAUGAAAUAGGACGUUUGAUUCUAUUUUGUUGGUUUCUAGGAUCGACGUAAUGAUUAAUAGGGAUAGUUGGGGGCAUUAGUAUUCAAUUGUCAGAGGUGAAAUUCUUGGAUUUAUUGAAGACUAACUACUGCGAAAGCAUUUGCCAAGGAUGUUUUCAUUAAUCAAGAACGAAAGUUAGGGGAUCGAAGACGAUCAGAUACCGUCGUAGUCUUAACCAUAAACUAUGCCGACUAGGGAUCGGAUGAUGUUAAUUUUUUAAUGACUCAUUCGGCGCCUUACG
rnacentral:rRNA from 1 species